CUGACCACAGACCUACCUAAAGCUCACUGGGAGUGCCUGGACCAAAAAAAAAAAACUUUAAUAAGUCAAACAGUGAGCUGGAAAUUAACUGCAGCGCAAUUUGAAUACAGCCAAAAUUCUCCGAGAAAGAUGCGAAUCUACUUGCGUGCUCCACUUCUUGACAGAUGGGAAAAUGCUGCAUAAUGGUGAGAGAAUAUUAACAUCAUCGUUAUAAUCAAAUUAAUAAUUAUGAUGUCUCUUUUGUGAUCACAUAUUUCUUUAUUUUGACUGUGAGUACUGAUCUGACUCAAGCCGUAAAUCAGUCCGGUUUUCACUCCCAUGUCUUUAAUGGACCAUUUAAUAAUACGGGAAAGCACAUCAAGUGUGUCAAGAAGGAAAACAGAAGGAGAGAGAAACAGCACCAGAGGAGAUGGCUUCACUGACAUGACAAGAAAGCAUAUUGAUUUCUCUUUAGGGUCACUGAACUCAGUGGGACAUUGCAGAAUAGGAGAAAGAGGGUCCCUCUCUGUUUCGCAGUGGAUUGCCAUGGUGACGAUGCACAGGCUGUGCUUGGCCUUGGUUUGUAUGGUGUGCCCUAAUUUCCAUCUGAAAGGUUUGUUCGCUUUCACUAUCUCACCGCUGAAUCCACUUCAGCCAGCGAUACAUAUCUCUCACAGUUCUUUCUCACUUUCUCUCGCUGUUUUCACCCUCCAUUUGUAUUUUACGCUCCCUUUGAUGAACCAUGGGGAGGUACUGAUUCCCAUUUUGGACGUGUCUGACCCCUAUUGA
ensembl:lncRNA